rnacentral:rRNA from 1 species
UUUAAGCUUCCUACGGGAGGCUGCAGUGGGGAAUCUUGCGCAAUGGGCGAAAGCCUGACGCAGCCAUGCCGCGUGAAUGAUGAAGGUCUUAGGAUUGUAAAAUUCUUUCACCGGGGACGAUAAUGACGGUACCCGGAGAAGAAGCCCCGGCUAACUUCGUGCCAGCAGCCGCGGUAAUACGAAGGGGGCUAGCGUUGCUCGGAAUUACUGGGCGUAAAGGGAGCGUAGGCGGACAUUUAAGUCAGGGGUGAAAUCCCGGGGCUCAACCUCGGAAUUGCCUUUGAUACUGGGUGUCUUGAGUAUGAGAGAGGUGUGUGGAACUCCGAGUGUAGAGGUGAAAUUCGUAGAUAUUCGGAAGAACACCAGUGGCGAAGGCGACACACUGGCUCAUUACUGACGCUGAGGCUCGAGGUACAGGGGGAGCAAACAGGAUUAGAUACCCUUGUAGUCGAAUUCUU